AUUGAACGCUGGCGGCAGGCCUAACACAUGCAAGUCGAACGCGUGGCGGACGGGUGAGUAAUGUAUGGUAAACUGCCAGAUGGAGGGGGAUAACUACUGGAAACGGUAGCUAAUACCGCAUACCAUCGGAUGUGCCCAGAUGGGAUUAGCUAGUAGGUGGGGUAACGGCUUACCUAGGCGACGAUACCUAGCUGGUCUGAGAGGAGUACCAGCCACACUGGAACUGUGACAAGGUCCAGACUCAUACGGUAGGCAGCAGUGGGGAAUAUUGCACAAGGGGCGCAAGCCUGAUGCAGACAUGCCGCGUGUAUGAAGAAGGCCAUCGGGUUGUAAAGUACUUUCAGCGAGGAGGCGUUACUCGCAGAAGAAGCACCGGCUAACUCCGUGCCAGCCGCCGCGGUAAUAC
rnacentral:rRNA from 1 species